AAACAAGAUGUGUGAAAUACUUUAGUUUCAAAAUGUAAACCAGGUAUCACAUAAACGUAUUCAGAAAGGAAACGUCCUACAAAGAUGUUACAAAGCUACAAAAUCGUAAAACAAAAACUCUGCAGCUGUUUAUUAGGGUUUCUGUGGGAGUGUGCACAUCACACUUGUCUUUCAGAAUUUGAAUCGAAGUUGCUGCAUUGGCAUUGGAAAUUCCGUCGAAUUCUCGUGAAAUUUGGUUUCCAAGGCCUCAAAUCAUUGUAGUGGAUGCCUUCCAGCUCAUGGAAACUAGACAACAGGUAUGGUACGACAAUAGAUCUUCAGUGUACCUUACAGCUUAGACCUUCGGAAGGCGG